UCAGCAGAUCCACUUUCAUAAUCUCCCCCAGGAGUUCCACCUGAAAUUCCUUCAUAAAUUCCACCUGGGAUAUCUACAAAAAAUCCACGUGAGAUUUCUUCAAUAAUGCCAUCUGGGAUUAACCUUGCAGUUCCACCUUGAAUUCCUUCAUGAAUUCCAUUUGCGAAGUUACGGCUCCGAUUCCCCCAGGAAUUCCUCUAGAAGUUUUACCCGCAGUUCCAUCUGAGAUUUAUCCAGGAGUUCUACCUGGAAUUUCUCCAGCAGUUCCGUAAGGGAUUUUCCAAAAGUUCCAUAUAGUCGUAAUAAUCAAUGUGCGGGUAUUCAGCAAGAACAUGUUGAGGGUGACAGGUUCGAUUCCUGAUCGGUCCAGGAGCUUGUAGUAAAGAAAAUUUUCAUGAUUUCCUUGGGCAUAGAGUGACUGUCAUACGAUAUACACAUACAAAAUAAUCAUUGACUGAGGCAGUUCUUAGUUGAUAACUGUGGAAGUGCUCAGCUGAGAAGUCCCAGUCCCGUUGUCCCGGUCAGGACGUGUUAUCUAGAAAUGUAGAGAAGGAACUGGGAUUCCUCCACGAGUUAAACCCAUGUUUUUUUUCAAGAGUUCUACCUGAGAUUUCUCCAGCAGUUCUAUCAGUGAUUUUUCCAGAAGCUCCUUCAAUUCCUAUAGGAGUUCCAGCUGUCAUUACUUCAGGAUUUCCAUCUAGGAUGCCUGUAGGAAUUACACCUGGUAUUCCCAAACUGUGGGUCGCGACCCCCCAGGGGGAUCGCCGACCUUCACCCAGGUGGUCACGAGGGACAGUAGAAUAUUUUAUUGUAUCAGACAACAAAUGACGGAAUUUUUCUAGUGGGUUGCGAAAACUACAUCUGGGGUCGCGCACUUGAAAGUUUGGGUACCUAUGUGUAACGAUGGUUUUGUUCCCUUUUUAAAAGAAAUUGUCUUUUAUAUUUUAAUGCCCUUAAAAUAUGUUACAAAAAAGAUAAAACUUUUCUUACCGUGUUUACGCAUAUGUCUGCAAGUUUUUAAAAGCUUUCAUUAAGCUAUGCGCCACCUAUGAACAAUCCGAGGUACCUGUGAUUCAAAAAGGCAUGAAGAAAAUUAUAACAUUUAAAACUUGUGCAGGUCUACAUUUAGGCGCAUCAGCUUGCUGCUCGAAUUCCUAUGAAAAUGGCAAAUUCCGUCCAGAAAUUGCGCAGUAGAGAAAAAUUUGAACUGAUUAAAGAGCUAAAUUCUCAAUAAUCCAUUUUCCAAUCCGCGUAUACUUUGUAAGCUCUCAGUACAUGAUCGUAUGGGAAAUUGCGUCGUAAGUUGAAAUAACUAAUCAACCCAAACGCGAUCGACCAUCAUUUCUGGUGGAGUUCUCAAACAGUCAAGAUCAAAAUCAAAAAGUGGUGAAUUUAUCAUAAUCGAUAUUUGCUAUCGAUAAAUAAUUCUAGCAGUUUAAAACUAAACUCGAAUUCUUUUUUUGAGUUAUAUUAGCUUUUUCUAGUGAGAAGGAUCUUAGUCUCAGUGCCUGUCUGCGAGACUAAAAUAAGGCCAAGCCCAACCAACGAGGGCGGUUAGUGUGGGCCGCGUCGGACUAGUGUUGGCCAGUUCCUGUCCGCAUCGGCCAUCGUGAGUCAUUUUGGAUCAGUUUCGCGCCGGUUAAUAGCCGGUCUGAAGUUCAUCUGUGAAGACCGAGGACGUUGAGAGACCCAACCCACCGGUCGACCACGUGGGUACCCGCGAAACUGGACUCAGGCCUCCAGGACGCCCUUCGAGCCACCGCCAAACUACGUUUGGACAUUUUUCGAACUGCUCGAUCAGAAGUCGAGUCCCACAAGCAAGGUGCUUGAGUGUACACUUCCGGUAAGUCGCCGAAUCGGAAUCCCGUCUAGACAACCCUGUGCGAUCAGAGCCUCGUCAACUGGCUCGGUACUCCAUCGUUUCCGGGGACAUCUCUACCCCGACGAUUUCGCACAUCCGGGACUGAUUCGACCUUCGGAAUCCGCCUCGCACCUCAGAAUCGGUACUCGACGUGGGAUUAGCUGUGGUGAGUAGACUGCCAGCUCGUAGCUACGUUGGACUUCGAGGGACCUAGCCCCGCCGAACAAGGUCAGACCUUUUUUUUAUUGUGCACGAAGAAAAUGUCCUUAGGGGGAGCUUACCUAAAAUAGAAUAAUUAAAUUAGAUCCUUUGGUGACGUCACAAACACAGAAAUGCGCAACCCUCAAUAAAGUAAUUUGUUUUGAUCAUUAGUUGAAACUUGUAAAACUCAAAACAAGACUGCUUUCCUAGUUUUCAAUAAAAUUUCGUAAAUUGAUUAUCAUUUCCUACUUCUAGUUUAGUUGAACUGUUUCUUUUUUCCCGCGCGCUAAGUUUUGUGACCCAUAUUGAGUUGAUUUUUAGUUUAGCCGAGACACACUCCUUGAUCGAUCGUGUGAUUGAGGCGUAUUGAGUUAGUGUGGUUUGAAAUUGGAUUGAUUUAGCUUCGGUUGGUUCGUUCAAAUUGUAGUUUUAGCAUUCUGGAAAUACUAUAACCUGCCCUGAGGCAAGUAAUCUCAUGCCGGGAUUGGAUCUCAGCCUACGGCCCUUGUAAUUUAGAAGGUGGCGCUUAAGCCGCAGACUGUUGUAACAGACUAAAACGUUACAUAUGUCUUAAGGAGUUCUACCUGGAACUCCUUCAAGAACUCCACCAGAAGCUCCACGUUGAAUUUCAUCAGGAAAUCCUCAUGAGUUUUCUGCAGUAGUUGCAUCUUGAACUCAACAGAAAAUUUACUUGAGAUUUCAGGAACACUGCAAGAAAUUCCGGAUAAAGAGCAAACGGAAUUGAAAUGCAGGAAUAUCUUGUAGCGAACAUUAUAGUUAGGCUCAACACAAUAAAGAGCUUCCGAACGAUCAUUCGUUAUAGCCAGUCUGGGUUUGAA